rnacentral:ncRNA from 1 species
AACAGAAAAAGGCAAACCAUCCUAAAGGGUGGGACGCAAAGCCGACGGCCUACGUCACGCGAAUCGUGAUAUGGCGGCAGGGUUGCCAGG